CUCGGCAACGGAUAUCCCGGCUCUCGCAUCGAUGAAGAACGUAGCGAAAUGCGAUACUUGGUGUGAAUUGCAGAAUCCCGUGAACCAUCGAGUCUUUGAACGCAAGUUGCGCCCGAAGCCAUUAGGCUGAGGGCACGUCUGCCUGGGCGUCACGC
rnacentral:rRNA from 1 species